AUCCGGAGGGUGCAAGCGUUAAUCGGAAUUACUGGGCGUAAAGCGCUCGUAGGCGGCUUGUUAAGUCGGAUGUGAAAGCCCCGGGCUCAACCUGGGAACUGCAUUCGAUACUGGCAAGCUAGAGUAUAGUAGAGGCAAGUGGAAUUCCGGGUGUAGCGGUGAAAUGCGUAGAUAUCCGGAGGAACAUCAGUGGCGAAGGCGACUUGCUGGACUAAUACUGACGCUGAGGAGCGAAAGCGUGGGGAGCAAACGGGAUUAGAAACCCCAGUAGUCC
rnacentral:rRNA from 1 species